rnacentral:rRNA from 1 species
CGGGUGAGUAAUGCUCGGGAAUCUAGCUUAUGGAGGGGGAUAACUACGGGAAACUGUAGCUAAUACCGCGUAGUAUCGGAAGAUGAAAGUGUGGGACCUUCGGGCCACAUGCCAUAGGAUGAGCCCAAGUGGGAUUAGGUAGUUGGUGAGGUAAAGGCUCACCAAGCCGACGAUCUCUAGCUGGUCUGAGAGGAUGACCAGCCACACUGGGACUGAGACACGGCCCAG